rnacentral:tRNA from 1 species
UCCCUGGUUAUCCAGUGAUUAGAACUUGGCACUUUCACUGCCAUGACCUGGGUUCAAUCCCUGGUCUGGGAA